CCUACGGGUGGCAGCAGUGAGGAAUAUUGGUCAAUGGACGAGAGUCUGAACCAGCCAAGUAGCGUGAAGGAUGACUGCCCUAUGGGUUGUAAACUUCUUUUAUAUGGGAAUAAAACAUGGUAUGCAUACCCUCUCGUAUGUACCAUAUGAAUAAGGAUCGGCUAACUCCGUUCCAGCAGCGGCGGUAAUACGGAGGAUCCGAGCGUUAUCCGGAUUUAUUGGGUUUAAAGGGAGCGUAGGUGGAUUGUUAAGUCAGUUGUGAAAGUUUGCGGCUCAACCGUAAAAUUGCAGUUGAUACUGGCAGGCUGGAGUACAGUAGAGGUGGGCAGAAUUCGUGGUGUAGCGGUGAAAUGCUUAGAUAUCACGAAGAACUCCGAUUGCGAAGGCAGCUCACUGGACUGCAACUGACACUGAUGCUCGAAAGUGUGGGUAUCAAACAGGAUUAGAUACCCGGGUAGUC
rnacentral:rRNA from 1 species